AUUAAAUGGUUUAUUCAUUUUGGAUUUAUAUACUAAUAAGAUAGAGGAAUAAUAUUUGAGAGAGGAUUUUAACUAAUAUAAGAUACAUACACAAUUAUAUGUGGAAAUUUUUUAAAAACUUGAAAAUAGGACCAAUUGCAGAUAUAAUUAAUUAACCAGCUCAUAGGAAGUGAUGUAAGAGUUAGGGGAUGAUAAAAGCCCAGAUGGAGCCACUAGAGCUCAUUCAGUGUGAGGACAGCAGCUCCAGAUUGCAGCCUAUAAAGUGCAACAAGCCAACUAAGUAAUUCCCACACAAAUGACUAUGGAUUUAAUUGAGUUACAGUCUUCCAUUCCGACACUUGAGACAGUUCCAGAGUCCAAUUUACCAGAGACUUAUUUCGGGAGACGAGCCGUCGAAAAGGGAAUACUGCACGCUUGAAAAUGUUAUCAAUAUGGAAGAAGGAGCAUACUUAGAUUGUUUUUAUGUAUCUGAAAAUAGUCCCAUUUCUGAAUCCUUUAAUGAGAAUGCUGAGCAGUCCAACCAAUCUACCAGUAUUUUAGGGGAAACAAAGAGCCAGGCCAAAUUCAUAAUGCAACACACAUUGACUUGGCCAGCAACCCUCUAUUUCAUCAUCUGAACGAUAUGUUUUUAACUUCCAUGUCUGAUUUUAAAGAGGUCUUACAUGGUGAAUUUGGACAUAUGGUGCAAGGUUUGCAGGAUAUUAAGAGUACACUCUGCACAUUGAUAGGGAUCCAAGAGCAAAAUACACUCCAAAUUAACACGAGUUUAAGUUCUAUAGCAGAUUCUUUAAAGAAACUGCUGGAGUUAAAAAUAAAAGAAUCUCAAGAGGGGUUUUACCAAGAAAAUUCUGUUGCUACUGGUUCCAGCAAGCAGGCCCUCCUGAAGAAGCGAAUAAGGCUUACACAAAUCUUAACACAAGAGAAAAGUGAACAAGCGGGUAAUUCCCCAGAGGAACAUGUCCCAAAACCCAAAAAUUGGAAAAAAAUUCUAAAACUCAGACAGCGUAGACUUUUCCUCUAAAACUCAUAACUGACUAAGGAGAUUCCCUCACGUAGUUAUUUGGGGAUACGGUCAUUAGGUCGACAACACUUAGGUCGACAGUCAUUAGGUUGACCACUAUUGGACGACAUGGUCAUAAUGUCGACAUGUACUAGGUCGACAGGUCAAAAGGACAACAUGAGUUUUUUGUUUUAAUGCAUUUUUUGAACUUUUUCAUACUUUACAUUCCACGUGGACUACGAUUGGGAAUAGUAUCCUGUGCCGAGCGCCGCGUUAGCGGUGCGAGGCAGCUUGUCUGAAGCAUGGCGAGCGAAGCGAGCCCACUAAAUGGGCUUCCCCACCAGUUUACGAUAAAAACAUCACCGAAAAAAACAAAAACCUCUUGCCGACCUUUUAACCUGUCGACCUAGUACUUGUCUACCUAAUGACCAUGUUGACCUAGUGACCCUGUCGACCUAUUGCAUGUCGACUAAUAGUGGUCAACCUAAUGACUGUCGACCUAAGUGUUGUCUUCCUAACGACCCAUACGCGUUAUUUUAGACUACAUUUUAUUCAAAGUGAUCCAUUUAAAAUCUUUUGGUUAAGAAAUCACAACAGAAUUAAUUGGUGUCAUUGUUUUUUGAGAAAUUUCUUCAGACAUUAAUAGGUCACAGUUUUGCAAAAAAAGUGGUGCGAAAUACACUCUCCUGUUUGGCUUCUACGUGAAACAAAAAGUUUAAUUGUUGUUAAAAUAAACAGUGUUUUAAAGGACGAACAUAAAGAAUGAUCAUUUACCUGAUAAAAUUUGUAACAACAUUUCAUAAGGUUUGAAUUUAGCUAAUGAUAUGAGAUGACCUUCAGACACAUAAUAAUGACAAGAGAAUCACUUGAAAAUAAACUGCUUUGAUGGUCUAGAACCUGACAAAAGCGUGUCACAAAUAGAUAUGCUGUAGCGCAGUGAAGUUAAAUGAUCAAGCCUACAAUGCGGCACCACUUUUAGUUCAAUGGACCAGCAUUAGUUUGUUUGGUAACCUAUGACAAUGGAUUGAUCCCACAGAACAAUAUUUUUUUAGACUUUGUGGGGGUAAGUGCAACUUGCCAAUCACUGGCGUACCUUUGUAAGGUGUAGUUCCGACAAUAUAUUUCAGCCACACAAGCAGGAGUAGUUGGAACAACAAAUAGUUACCAUUCCAGGCACUAGUAGUGGUGUAGUUGAUCUAGCCUGGUGGGCGGGGAUGUAGUGACUUCAUUUACCGGGAUGGAUAUUUGGCAGCAGGUUGCAAGAUAAUGGUGUUUGUAACAAAGUACAGGGUGUUCAGGUGAAAACAUGUUCCUCUUAGGGAUUACGUCAACGUGUUUCGUCCCAUCUUUUCAAAGUUGAUAUAGUGUGAACCAGUCCCUUUAAUGUUGCCUUUUUGCAACAAACCUUAUGAAUUGUUGUUACAAAUGUAAUCAGAUGAAUGUUCAUGUGUUAAAAUUGUGUGCAUCAGUUUUAUUUCAUUGAAGUACACUAUUAUAGGUGUAUUUUAAGCAUGUUUCUUGUGUAUUUACUGAGUGCAUGUAAACACAGUUAUACUUAAUUCAUUUGUGUUAAUUAUUUUAAUAAUCUCCCACCCAGCACAUUAAUCAUGAUUUUUGUGUGCUUACUGUAGAAAAGUGUGCAGGUUUUCGCAAACCCAUGAUUACUUGCAGCUAGUGUGACUGUGCUAAAUUAUAUAAAUGUUUUAUUCAUAUGUUUACAAUUGUAAGACAGUGCGCUGGGAGUUCGGGUGGUUUGACCACAUUAAUUUCCGAAAAUAAAGAUUACC